GCAGGGGAGAGUUUGAUCCUGGCUCAGAUUGAACGCUGGCGGCAGGCCUAACACAUGCAAGUCGAGCGGAUGAAGGGAGCUUGCUCCUGGAUUCAGCGGCGGACGGGUGAGUAAUGCCUAGGAAUCUGCCUGGUAGUGGGGGAUAACGUCCGGAAACGGGCGCUAAUACCGCAUACGUCCUGAGGGAGAAAGUGGGGGAUCUUCGGACCUCACGCUAUCAGAUGAGCCUAGGUCGGAUUAGCUAGUUGGUGGGGUAAAGGCCUACCAAGGCGACGAUCCGUAACUGGUCUGAGAGGAUGAUCAGUCACACUGGAACUGAGACACGGUCCAGACUCCUACGGGAGGCAGCAGUGGGGAAUAUUGGACAAUGGGCGAAAGCCUGAUCCAGCC
rnacentral:rRNA from 1 species